CCUACGGGGGGCAGCAGUGAGGAAUAUUGGUCAAUGGCCGAGAGGCUGAACCAGCCAAGUCGCGUGAGGGAAGACGGUCCUACGGGUUGUAAACCUCUUUUGUCGGGGAGCAAAGCGAACCACGUGUGGUUCAUUGAGAGUACCCGAAGAAAAAGCAUCGGCUAACUCCGUGCCAGCAGCCGCGGUAAUACGGAGGAUGCGAGCGUUAUCCGGAUUUAUUGGGGUUAAAGGGUGCGCAGGCGGAGGUGCAAGUCAGCGGUCAAAUUGCGGGGCUCAACCCCGUACUGCCGUUGAAACGGCAUCCCUUGAGUGCGCGAGAAGUAUGCGGAAUGCGUGGUGUAGCGGUGAAAUGCAUAGAUAUCACGCAGAACUCCGAUUGCGAAGGCAGCAUACCGGUGCGCAACUGACGCUCAUGCACGAAAGCGUGGGUAUCGAACAGGAUUAGAUACCCGAGUAGUC
rnacentral:rRNA from 1 species